rnacentral:tRNA from 1 species
GCACUCGUCGCCUAGUCGUAUGACGCUGGACUGGAAAUCCAGUGCGGUCCUCCGCCCGUGGGUUCAAAUCCCAUCGAGUGCGCCA